rnacentral:tRNA from 3 species
GUCCUGGUAGCUCAGUUGGAUAGAGCAUGCGCCUUCUAAGCGCAGGGUCGGGUGUUCGAAUCAUCUCCAGGACGCCA